GACCUACCUCCGAGUGGGGGAUAACGUCCCGAAAGGGACGCUAAUACCGCAUGACAUCCUGCCUUUGAACAGGUGGAGAUCAAAGCUGGGGAUCGCAAGUCCUGGCGCUUGAAGAGGGGCCCGCGUCCGAUUAGCUAGUUGGUGAGGUAACGGCUCACCAAGGCGACGAUCGGUAUCCGGCCUGAGAGGGCGGACGGACACACUGGGACUGAGACACGGCCCAGACUCCUACGGGAGGCAGCAGUGGGGAAUUGUUCGCAAUGGGCGCAAGCCUGACGACGCAACGCCGCGUGGAGGAUGAAGGUCUUCGGAUUGUAAACUCCUGUUGCCAGGGACGAAUGGCUCCGACCUAACACGUCGGAGUAUGACGGUACCUGGCGAGGAAGCCCCGGCUAACUCUGUGCCAGCAGCCGCGGUAAUACAGAGGGGGCAAGCGUUGUUCGGAAUUACUGGGCGUAAAGGGCGCGUAGGCGGCCCGCUAAGUCGAACGUGAAAUCCCCGGGCUUAACCCGGGAACUGCGUCCGAUACUGGUGGGCUUGAAUCCGGGAGAGGGAUGUGGGAUUCCAGGUGUAGCGGUGAAAUGCGUAGAUAUCUGGAGGAACACCGGUGGCGAAGGCGGCAUCCUGGACCGGUAUUGACGCUGAGGCGCGAAAGCUAGGGUAGCAAACGGGAUUAGAUACCCCGGUAGUCCUAGCCCUAAACGAUGAA
rnacentral:rRNA from 1 species